ensembl:lincRNA 4930517L18Rik RIKEN cDNA 4930517L18 gene
GAGAAGGAGAGAGAGGCAGAGAAAGAUGGAGAACGACUGAGAAAGGAGACAAGAUGGAACCUAUAGGAGAGGAUGAUGAGCCAGAACCACGUGGAGCCAUAAUCAUCUGGGAAGAGGAACCUCUAUUGAGAAAAUGCCUCCUUCUGAUUACCUAUAGGCAAGUCUGUGAGACAUUUUCUUGUGGGACAUUUUCUUGAUUAACAGUUGAUGUGGAAGUAGCAAGCCCAUUCGGGACAACCUUGGGCAGGUGGCCCUGGAUAUCAUAAGAAAGCAAGCUGAGCAAUCCAAGGGAGCAAACUUGUUUUCUACUUGAGUUGCUGCCCUGGCUUCCCUUCAUGGUGGACUAUAAGCUGAAAGGUAAAAGAAAUGCUUUCUCCCCUCCUCCCUGCCCCAUGCUCCAGAGUUGCAUUUGGUCAUGGUGGUUUGUACCAAUAAAAAGCAAACUAAUACAGUAAUGAAACACAAUAAAGAAUUAUAAGACU